GCGUAUAGGAAGAAAAUUUAUUUCGGAGC
rnacentral:sRNA from 1 species